AGGGAAUAUUGCGCAAUGGACGGAAGUCUGACGCAGCGACGCCGCGUGAGCGAUGAAGGUCUUCGGAUCGUAAAGCUCUGUCCUUGGGGAAGAAGGCGAAAGCUUGACGGUACCCAAGAAGAAAGCCCCGGCUAACUACGUGCCAGCAGCCGCGGUAAUACGUAGGGGGCGAGCGUUGUCCGGAAUUACUGGGCGUAAAGGGUGCGUAGGCGGCCCUUUAAGUCGGAUGUGAAAGCCCGCGGCUUAACCGCGGAAUGGCAUUCGAAACUGGAGGGCUUGAGUGUCGGAGAGGGUAGUGGAAUUCCCAGUGUAGCGGUGAAAUGCGUAGAUAUUGGGAGGAACACCAGUGGCGAAGGCGACUACCUGGACGAUAACUGACGCUGAGGCACGAAAGCUAGGGGAGCAAACA
rnacentral:rRNA from 1 species